UCGCACCCGGACUUGGAGCUCUCCGUGAGGCCAGUGGGAGCGCCAUUGUCGGGCAGGGGGACCAGGCUGGCACUGUCCGGGACCACCAUGCUCCUGCUCUGUUGAAACACAUGGCCACAUCAAGAUGGGGGUCAAAGAGAGCAGCUGCUACCCCACGGUGGUUUCACUGGUGUUUGGCGCCCCCUAUAGAGGAGAUGUGGUACUGGAGCGACAUCUCUGUGUAAUCUCAAUUGCGGCCAUUGCGUGUCGCUGUUUGAACAGAAAUAAGGAAACGCCAUAAAAAAAAAACGACAAGAAGGAAAAAGUGAACGUGACAUCUUUUCUUUUACAAAGAUCAACCUCUUUUUUUUUUUUUUUUACAAGAAAUAACGUCCCAUUCUCUUUUUACCUGAUUUUAAUGUAGAAGUCAUGCUUUGACUACUCGAACUGAUAAUUGACUCGUCGCAUCACACUGGAGAAGAUGAGGAAGUCUCACCAUCAAACGUUUCUUAUAACACGUAUGAAACUGAAAAUGUGUCCUACACACUGCACGAGAGAACCAUUCAAACCGCCUGAAGAAAAAAGAAAAGAGAAAAUUUAAAAAGAAAAAUAGAUAUGUAUGUGAUAACGUUAAUGAAGAUAGACCUUGUUGAUCACUUUGAUUCGAAAGUCUAUUAGAUAUUAAAUUCAAGAAGUGCUGGGCCUCACAUUGUGUGUGCAUACAAUAAUGCCAAAGUGAGAGUGCUAAAAAAAAGAAAAUAUCAAGCUAUGAAUAAAUGCAAUAAUCAGUUCAUUGUGUUAAACAUUGUGCAAUGACACAGGUCCUGCACAAGUUUAGGCAGUGGUUGUUUUCUUAAUCAGUCACACUCUCUUUUUUUUUCAUUACACAAGGUGAAGUUAAGGAAGUAGCGAGAGAACUAGAAUAACCUGUCUAGUUUAUUUCGCAGGAUGAAAGCAUGCAUUGUUGAUGCUGGUUGGAAAGUUUGUUAGCAGGGGGCCUUUGAUAAUGCAAUACUUCAUCAUAGACCACAUGUGUUUGCUUUUCAGUAUUUGUCUCCACGUUGGUUUUAAGGACAAUAAAUGACUGCGCUUA